CAAAGGAAUUGACGGGGCCCGCACAAGCGGUGGAGCAUGUGGUUUAAUUCGACGCAACGCGAAGAACCUUACCAGGGCUUGACAUCCCCUGACCGCGUAUGAAGUACGUUUUCACCCUCGGGUGACAGGGAGACAGGUGGUGCAUGGUUGUCGUCAGCUCGUGUCGUGAGAUGUUGGGUUAAGUCCCGCAACGAGCGCAACCCUCGCCUUUAGUUGCCAGCAUUCAGUUGGGCACUCUAGAGGGACUGCCGGUGUCAAACCGGAGGAAGGUGGGGAUGACGUCAAGUCCUCAUGGCCUUUAUGUCUAGGGCUACACACGUACUACAAUGGCCGGUACAAAGGGCAGCCACUCAGCGAUGAGGCGCUAAUCCCAUAAAGCCGGUCUCAGUCCGGAUCGCAGUCUGCAACUCGACGGCGUGAAGUUGGAAUCGCUAGUAAUCGUAGAUCGGCAUGCUACGGUGAAUACGUUCCCGGGCCUU
rnacentral:rRNA from 1 species